CGUGUGGACAGCAGGCUUUGCAGGUGUGUGUGGAGUUUGAGUGCGCGUGUGUGUGAGAGGGCAUGUGUGUGUGAGCGAUAGGUGAGUCUGUAACAGUAGCUGGUGUGUGGUACGUCAGGGUGUGUGUCGGUCUGUGUGUUGGGUGUGUAGGUGUGUGGUACGUCAGGGUGUGUGUCGGUCUGUGUGUUGGGUGUGUAGGUGUGUGGUACGUCAGGGUGUGUGUCGGUCUGUGUGUUGGGUGUGUAGGUGUGUGGUACGUCAGGGUGUGUGUCGGUCUGUGUGUUGGGUGUGUAGGUGUGUGGUACGUCAGGGUGUGUGUCGGUCUGUGUGUUGGGUGUGUAGGUGUGUGGUACGUCAGGGUGUGUGUCGGUCUGUGUGUUGGGUGUGUAGGUGUGUGGUACGUCAGGGUGUGUGUCGGUCUGUGUGUUGGGUGUGUAGGUGUGUGGUACGUCAGGGUGUGUGUCGGUCUGUGUGUUGGGUGUGUAGGUGUCGAUGAGCGUAACGUUCUCUACCAUCUCUCUACUGGCCUCCCUGACUAGAGCAUGAAACGCUGCCUCCUGCCAGUCUGGCCCCGCCCAGAAGCUGAU